UACGUAGGGGGCAAGCGUUGUCCGGAUUUAUUGGGCGUAAAGAGCGUGUAGGCGGCCAAACAGGUCAGCUGUGAAAACUCGAGGCUCAACCUCGAGACGUCGGUUGAAACCGUAUGGCUAGAGUCCGGAAGAGGAGAGUGGAAUUCCCGGUGUAGCGGUGAAAUGCGCAGAUAUCGGGAAGAACACCUAUGGCGAAGGCAGCUCUCUGGGACGGUACUGACGCUGAGACGCGAAAGCGUGGGGAGCGAACAGG
rnacentral:rRNA from 1 species